rnacentral:rRNA from 1 species
ACUCCGGUUGAUCCUGCCGGACCCGACCGCUAUCGGGGUGGGGCUAAGCCAUGCGAGUCGUGCGCCCCAGGCCAUGGUGGGGCGCGGCGCACGGCUCAGUAACACGUGGCCAACCUACCCUCGGGACGGGGAUAACCCCGGGAAACUGGGGCUAAUACCCGAUAGGCGAUGGCUCCUGGAAUGGGCCAUCGCCUAAAGGGACCUGAGGCCAUGCUCCUCAGGUCCGCCCGAGGAUGGGGCUGCGGCCCAUCAGGUAGUUGGCGGGGUAACGGCCCGCCAAGCCGAUAACGGGUACGGGCCGUGAGAGCGGGAGCCCGGAGAUGGGCCCUGAGACAAGGGCCCAGGCCCUACGGGGCGCAGCAGGCGCGAAACCUCCGCUAUGCGGGAAACCGCGACGGGGUCACCCCGAGUGCCACCCGAAGAGGGUGGCUUUUCCCCAGUGUAACAAGCUGGGGGCAAUAAGCGGGGGGCAAGUCUGGUGUCAGCCGCCGCGGUAAUACCAGCCCCGCGAGUGGUCGGGACGCUUAUUGGGCUUAAAGCGUCCGUAGCCGGUCCAGUAAGUCCCCCCUUAAAUCCCACGGCCCAACCGUGGGGCUGGGGGGGAUACUGCUGGGCUAGGGGGCGGGAGAGGCCGAGGGUACUCCCGGGGUAGGGGCGAAAUCCUAUAAUCCCGGGAGGACCACCAGUGGCGAAGGCGCUCGGCCAGAACGCGCCCGACGGUGAGGGACGAAAGCUGGGGGAGCAAAGGGGAUUAGAUACCCCCGUAGUCCCAGCUGUAAACGAUGCGGGCUAGGUGUUGGGCGGACUUCGAGUCCGCCCAGUGCCGCAGGGAAACCAUUAAGCCCGCCGCCUGGGGAGUACGGCCGCAAGGCUGAAACUUAAAGGAAUUGGCGGGGGAGCACCACAAGGGGUGAAUGCUGCGGUUUAAUUGGAGUCAACGCCGGGAACCUUACCGGGGGCGACAGCAGGAUGACGGCCAGGCUGACGACCUUGCCAGACGCGCUGAGAGGAGGUACAUCGCCGUCGCCAGUUCGUGCCGUGAGGUGUCCGGUUAAGUUCGGCAACGAACGAGACCCCCACCCCCAGUUGCUACCGCAUCCCUGCGGGGAUGCGGGCACUCUGGGGGGACUGCCGGCGCUGAGCCGGAGGAAGGAGGGGGCCACGGCAGGUCAGCAUGCCCCGAAACCCCCGGGCUACACGCGGCAUGCAAUGGUGGGGACAAUGGGUUCCGACCCCGAAAGGGGGAGGUAAUCCCAUAAACCCCACCUCAGUUGGGAUUGAGGGCUGCAACUCGCCCUCACGAACAUGGAAUCCCUAGUAACCGCGCGUCACCAUCGCGCGGUGAAUACGUCCCUGCUCCUUGCACACACCGCCCGUCGCUCCACCCGAGUCGAGCUUGAGUGAGACUCGGCUCCGUAAGGGGUCGGGUCGAACUCAAGCUCGGCGAGGGGGGAGAAGUCGUAACAAGGUGGCCGUAGGGGAACCUGCGGCCGGAUCACCUCCU